AGAGAUCAUGGCUCAGAUUGAACGCUGGCGGCAUGCCUUACACAUGCAAGUCGAACGGUAACAGGGAGCUUGCUCCGCUGACGAGUGGCGAACGGGUGAGUAAUAUAUCGGAACGUACCCUAGAGUGGGGGAUAACGUAGCGAAAGUUACGCUAAUACCGCAUACGAUCUACGGACGAAAGUGGGGGAUCGCAAGACCUCAUGCUCAUGGAGCGGCCGAUAUCUGAUUAGCUAGUUGGUAGGGUAAAAGCCUACCAAGGCAUCGAUCAGUAGCUGGUCUGAGAGGACGACCAGCCACACUGGAACUGAGACACGGUCCAGACUCCUACGGGAGGCAGCAGUGGGGAAUUUUGGACAAUGGGCGCAAGCCUGAUCCAGCAAUGCCGCGUGAGUGAAGAAGGCCUUCGGGUUGUAAAGCUCUUUUGUCAGGGAAGAAACGGUUUGGUCUAAUACACUGAGCUAAUGACGGUACCUGAAGAAUAAGCACCGGCUAACUACGUGCCAGCAGCCGCGGUAAUACGUAGGGUGCAAGCGUUAAUCGGAAUUACUGGGCGUAAAGCGUGCGCAGGCGGUUGUGCAAGACAGAUGUGAAAUCCCCGGGCUCAACCUGGGAAUUGCAUUUGUGACUGCACGGCUAGAGUGUGUCAGAGGGGGGUAGAAUUCCACGUGUAGCAGUGAAAUGCGUAGAGAUGUGGAGGAAUACCGAUGGCGAAAGCAGCCCCCUGGGAUAACACUGACGCUCAUGCACGAAAGCGUGGGGAGCAAACAGGAUUAGAUACCCUGGUAGUCCACGCCCUAAACGAUGUCUACUAGUUGUCGGGUCUUAAUUGACUUGGUACGCAGCUAACGCGUGGAAGUAGACCGCCUGGGGAGUACGGUCGCAAGAUUAAAACUCAAAGGAA
rnacentral:rRNA from 1 species